rnacentral:rRNA from 1 species
UGAGGAAUAUUGCACAAUGGGCGAAAGCCUGAUGCAGCGACGCCGCGUGGGUGAAGAAGGUUUUCGGAUCGUAAAACCCUUUUCUGUGUGACGAGAGAGGACGGUAGCACAGGAAUAAGUCUCGGCUAACUACGUGCCAGCAGCCGCGGUAAAACGUAGGAGACAAACGUUAUCCGGAGUUACUGGGCGUAAAGGGCGUGCAGGCGGCAGCCUAAGUCUGGCGUGAAAUAUCCCGGCUUAACCGGGAGAGGUCGUCGGAUACUGGGCAGCUAGAGGGCGGUAGAGGCGUGUGGAAUUCCGGGUGUAGUGGUGAAAUGCGUAGAGAUCCGGAGGAACACCAGUGGCGAAGGCGACACGCUGGGCCGCACCUGACGCUAAGACGCGACAGCAUGGGGAGCGAAC